rnacentral:rRNA from 1 species
GAAGCUAAUACCGGAUAAUAUAUUGAACCGCAUGGUUCAAUAGUGAAAGAACGGUUUUGUCUGUCACUUAUAGAUGGAUCCGCGCUGCAUUAGCUAGUUGGUAAGGUAACGGCUUACCAAGGCAACGAUGCGUAGCCGACCUGAGAGGGUGAUCGGCCACACUGGAACUGAGACACGGUCCAG